UCAAUCUCGUGCGGCUAGGAGCCGCCUGUCCCUCUAAGAAGAUUGCUACGUCGGAAGCAUAAUAGAUUCCGACGCCUAGUUAGCAGGCCAGAGUCUCGUUCGUUAU
rnacentral:rRNA from 1 species